AGUAUCAUCUUAGGGGACAGCUGUGCUAUGCAGGGUCCCUUGACCUAAACGUCAUCAUGCAGCACGUGGCCAUAGUGAAGCCCAGGAGCCUGUGGCUUGCUCCACUCAGGCGAUCCACCGCCAGCCCUGCAGACCCAGGAAAUCAGUUUCCCCAAACACCCACUCCAAGCCUUCAGGCUCAUCAUGCCAGGGCGGAUCCCAGAGGCCCUGCAGCGGGAAUGGCCACUGCAGCGGAGAUGGGAGCAGACAGGGCGACGGGUCCUGCCGGUGCCACAUGGGGUACCAGGGCCCGCUGUGCACUGACUGCAUGGACGGCUACUUCAGCUCGCUCCGGAACGAGACCCACAGCAUCUGCACAGAUGUCCAAGGAAGCUUCGGGGGCCCAGAAGGAUGAAUGAAAACAUCAGAGGAUAGAGGCAGAGGUUGUCAGGGGCACUUCCUGUCCCGUAACAGCCCUCAGAAGGGAGAAGCUACUCACCUUUCUCUCUAGUGCAAGGUCCGCCCCGACCUUGAGUUGUGAUGGG
rnacentral:sRNA from 1 species